ensembl:lncRNA
GGUGCACUGCACAAAAGAUAAAUCAGUUCCCAAUCUGGCAAGCUGAUAAACACUUUUUAUAAACAUAUGCCAAAUUUGACCUAAGGUCCUAGUACAUAAGCAAGCCGGAAAAUUUCAUGCAGUUGAUGGGGAUAAUAUGAAGCAACUACUGAUCUGAAACUCCUUGGGGCAGUGGGCUGGACCAGGCCUUUGUGAUCAAGGGGGUUUGGAGCUGCAGCUGUGGGCACUUUGCCAAAGGCUGAGACAGAAGGCAAGUGUUAGAAGAGGAUUUAAACAGAGUGAAGCUUCACAGAGAUGAAGGAUGCAGAAUAUGCUCUUCUCAGUUAGUGUACUUGUUCAGUACCUGGAAAAAAGAGACCCCUCUUGUCUUCAAGCCUGUUUUUCAGAGAGAAAACAAAACCACCACAAAACAACCACUAAAAAAAUGCUCAACAGCUGCUUCCUGAACUGGAGAUGUUUCUGAUCCCAAAAACCUGGCUUGCUUGUCACAUCUGUGUAUUGAGGGACCUUCGUAUAUGAAAGAAGUAGAGGCUGCCUGUUGCAAGUGGUUGUGCUUCGCAGAUGGACAGGCAAACACAGCAGAUGGAAGAUGUCACAUUCUGGAGACCAGAAAAUACUUUCUAAAUACUUUCUUCUUCAGUGUCUGGAUCCUGUUUUUCUGAUUUUUUUGUUAUUAUUUUUUAAAAAUUAUAUACGUAUAUAUAUAUAUUUUUUUUUUCUGAGAAGAGCAUUUAGUGAAAGAAUGGAGGCUGGGUUUGCUGUCAGAAGGCAGAGCUGCAAACAUGGCUUAACAACAUUAAGGACUUCUACACCUGUCUACACCAAGAAGAGGAAGAAAUUCUCAAUGAACAAAGAAAGUGUCAGGAAAACCACAGAGCCAUCUGACUUCCAGGCAGACUGUUAUGAUUCACAUGCUCCAUUGCUUACAGGUAGUCUGUAAGCAUCCUCCUUUAGUAAGUACAGAGUGAUUCCCUCUGGCAGAUUGCUUGCGCAUUUGGUGCAGAGGAGCUGCCUGGACUCAUCUAGACUGCAUGGGUGCAGAAUGUUGCAGAGAAGAAACAGGUGGGCAACCAGCAAAGGAGCAGCAAGACAAACUUUCUAGAUCUGUUCUCACCUUUUUCCUUGGAGGCCAGAUAUUGCACCUAGAGGGAAGACAAAUCCAGUGGACAACUGGUACAUUUCAAAGAGUGCAAUGAAUUUGAUUAAUAACGGACGUGACUUGAAGAUAUAAUGAAGUGAUAAUCUACCUGCAUCUGUGGAAACAAAAUAAAUGAGGAACAAAAACUUGAAGACUAAGAGCUAGAAGGAAGAGUGCAACUUUGCUUCUGGUUUACAACAGUAAUCCUGAAUUGGCAAUGUAAUACAGCAAAACCUGAAAGAGACCUCCGGUCCUUUUGACUUGAUGUUGACAUCCUCUGUUGAAGGCCUCUUAGAUUCAAUAUUACUUUGCUUUUCUGGGGACAGUGCAACACAGGUUUCUUCUUCUGUUCUCCCUUCAGUGUGCAUCACAACUUUGAUUUUUGGUCCUCUGGAGUUAUUUGCACAAACAUUAGGGAGGAUGCUGCACAUGUGCUUUCAAAAUGGCUUGUGGAUAUAGCAAACUGCACUGUAAAGAUACAAACUAUCAUGGAAUAAAUGCCACAAACCUUUCUUUCUACCAUCUUUUGACCUCAUAUAGUACGUUUGGUCACUUUUCUUAUUUUAAAAGACUGAAUGUGCAUAAUUUUUCCCACUAAUUGCCCAGCCCUGAACUUCAGUUACUUACUCCGUGCCUAUGGAAUAAAGAAAAUAAGGAGCAAACCAUACAAAAACUAUUGAUUAUGCCAGUGACUGGAGCAGAUGUCAUGGCUCAGACAAAUAUUUAUAGUCAUAGACACAGUGAGUUUAGCAAUUAUUGCAUAGAAACAUAAUGAUUAGCCUUCCUGAAGAAGGGAAGAAUAAAGGGCAGUAAAUUCAGUGAAUGCAUUUAGACACUGAAUGAAAUCUUAUUAGAUGUAAGGAAAAAAUGUGAAGUAUUACAUUUAGGGUGUUGGAAAACAAUGGCAUGACACCAGGGAGACUGUCUUUUUUUUAGAUUAUCUUUUUAAUCUUUAUCUUAUCACUUUCAUUCAUAACUAAUUUGAAUAUAACAUUCUUUUCUGAGUGAUCAGAAAUGUCUU